rnacentral:rRNA from 1 species
CAUGCAGUCGACGGAAGGUCUCUUCGGAGAUACUCGAGUGGCGAACGGGUGAGUAACACGUGGGCAAUCUGCCCUGCACUUCGGGAUAAGCCUGGGAAACUGGGUCUAAUACCGGAUAGGACCACUUGGCGCAUGCCUUGUGGUGGAAAGCUUUUGCGGUGUGGGAUGGGCCCGCGGCCUAUCAGCUAGUUGGUGGGGUGAUGGCCUACCAAGGCGACGACGGGUAGCCGGCCUGAGAGGGUGUCCGGCCACACUGGGACUGAGAUACGGCCCAGACUCCUACGGGAGGCAGCAGUGGGGAAUAUUGCACAAUGGGCGCAAGCCUGAUGCAGCGACGCCGCGUGGGGGAUGACGGCCUUCGGGUUGUAAACCUCUUUCAGCAGGGACGAAGCGCAAGUGACGGUACCUGCAGAAGAAGCACCGGCCAACUACGUGCCAGCAGCCGCGGUAAUACGUAGGGUGCGAGCGUUGUCCGGAAUUACUGGGCGUAAAGAGCUCGUAGGUGGUUUGUCGCGUUGUUCGUGAAAACCGGGGGCUUAACCCUCGGCGUGCGGGCGAUACGGGCAGACUAGAGUACUGCAGGGGAGACUGGAAUUCCUGGUGUAGCGGUGGAAUGCGCAGAUAUCAGGAGGAACACCGGUGGCGAAGGCGGGUCUCUGGGCAGUAACUGACGCUGAGGAGCGAAAGCGUGGGGAGCGAACAGGAUUAGAUACCCUGGUAGUCCACGCCGUAAACGGUGGGUACUAGGUGUGGGUUUCCUUCCUUGGGGAUCCGUGCCGUAGCUAACGCAUUAAGUACCCCGCCUGGGGAGUACGGCCGCAAGGCUAAACUCA